AUGUUUCCCCCUCAAAAUAGCAUUUGUUUGUAUCGGGUGUCUGAUGGAAGAAGAUGUUCAUACGGUCUCUUCUCAGAACUCAUUACUGUGAACAACAUCACCUGCACCACAAAAAGAGAUGUCCAAACUGAAGGCAUCUCCGCUCGGCAAGUGUCCUCCACCCAAAGUGCCCUGCUUGCUAUUAUGUGUGUAACCCCGUCCAGCUGUCUUGCAUUCACACAACCCAAACUGGACGUCUCAGCACGAAUAGCAUAGGCCCAUGACGUUUAACAGCGGAGAGGGAAAGAGACAUACGGAACAGUUUCAGAGCUCUGAUGAACAGAGAAAUAUAAAAGCUGCUGAGAUUUAUGGGCUGAAGAACGCCAGAGCAGCUUCUGAUGGGAGCAGCCUGCCCGUGACUUCUCAGAUCUCGGGAAGUUCUGGGUGGAUGAUCAAUUGCAAAGUUUGAAAUGGCUAAACAGAAACUGAUGGUUGGAGCGAUUGAAAUCGUCCCUUUUCUUGGUGUCGCAGGACUCUAAGCAUGUAAGGUAUGUUCUGGCAAAACACAGAUCCUGUCUUCUAUCUCUGGUAGACCUGUCCAGACCUUUUCCCACACUUGUUUUUUUUUGUCUUUCUAUCCCUAGUUCCUUUUGUUGGGAAGUGUGCCAGCUUGGCCAGUGUAGUGCCAGAAAGACUUCACUGAAGAGAGAAUAAGGAACGUUCACCCAUAUAUACAUGGAGGAGAAAAAGAAUAACUUGUAAUAAUAAUAAAAAUGAUAAUAGCAAUUAUGUGGUUAUUAAAAUCUGAUUUGUGUUCUGCUGCAUAGAUAAUAUUCCUCUCCCUCUCUGUUUAAUCUUUCUCUGUAUAUAUUGUCCUCUUUAGCUCUCUCGUUCUCUCAUUCUGUUCUGCGGUCUACAUUUUGCUGUUUUUGGGUACUUUGAUCUUUUACUGCGCUCUCUUUGCUACACAUUCCCACUCUCAAUCUUUCUCCCUCAAAAAGUAAACUGUUUUUAUCUUCCUUCCACCUUUUUUAUUCCUAUCUUCCUUCUUUUAAUGGGUCUCUCCCUUCCUGUUCUUUGGUUUGUUUUAGAGCUGAGAUUUGGCAAAGAGGUAAAGCUGUAACUCUUAACAAAAAUUGAAACAAUUUAUCAUCUUUCUCAAUGCACACAUGACGUUACAAUCUGUGUGUGUUCGUGUCCUAUUAAAGUGUUCAGAGAAGAAUGUUUUCUUUCAUUACCUCAAAUCAAGCAGUUAAUAUCUCUCAAUUAUUUGGAUAUCAAAUAGGGGUAACUGGGGUUAGUUGUCACACAUGAUUUGAUUUGAAGUCAGUUUCUGUAUACCUAAAAGCCUGGGAUACAAAAAGCUUCUUUAUCACCAUUUUGCCCAGUAAAAAUAUUGUACUGUUGACCACUUAAGUUUAGGUUUUCAUAAUGGAAAACUACCGUUAAACUGUAUGACUUUUCAGCAAACAUUCAAACAUUUAUCAAGCACAAAAAUUUGGUGUAACUGUAAAAAUGUUGAAUGUAAAAAAAAAAAAAAAAUAGCAAGCAUUUUUAUUUAUUUUUUCUUGCUAACAAAAACUAUAGUCCAUAAAUCUGAACUAUAGAAAAUUAUUUUUUUAAUAAGCAUAUUGUUUGAUAUUCCACUUUUAGUUUGGUUGACAGAUGUUAAAAUUGUUUAAAUUUAAGACAACUGUAACAAAAUUAGCAAGCUAUUUU
ensembl:lncRNA